AGACUUGACAUCGAUCGCAAAGUCCAGAAAUGGGCUCCUCCCUAACAAGGGACGUGAAGACACUUGUUGCAUGGCUGUCGUCAGCUCGUGCCGUGAGGUGUACGGUUAAGUCCGCCAACGAGCGCAACCCUCGUCCUGUGUUACCAGCAUGAAAGAUGGGCACUCACAGGAGACCGCCGGUGUAAGCCGGAGGAAGGUGGGGAUGACGUCAAGUCAGCAUGGCAGUUACGUCUGGGGCUUCACACAUGCUACAAUGGGCGAAACAAAGGGCAGCAAUACCGCGAGGUGGAGCAAAUCCCAAAAAUACGCCCCCAGUUCAGAUUGCAGUCUGCAACUCGACUGCAUGAAGGCGGAAUCGCUAGUAAACGCAGGUCAGCUAUACUGCGUUGAAUACGUUCCCGGGUCUUGUACACACCGCCCGUCAAGUCACUUGAAUUGUCUUCACCCGAAGUCCGUGGCCUAACCGCAAGGAAGGAGCGGCCGAAGGUGAGGGGAGUAAGAGGGACUAAGUCGUAACAAGGUAACCAAGGGC
rnacentral:rRNA from 1 species